UUUUUUUCUGCUCCUUCCCAGUUUCGCCAAGUCCUCUGCAAGUGAAAGGGAGAACAUGGUCUGUGCUGUGACGUUGAGUCUGUCGCCAAUCUUGGGGCACCACCAGUUGUGGGUGGAGCUCCUUGAUCUUGUACGAGAGCACUGAAAAAAUCGAAGAAGGAAAAAGAGAGCCAGCAAAAGGUCAGUGGAAUGGAGAGAUCAAGAAGUAAUGGACAGGAUUUGAAGUACAAGUAGUGCCUCACACAGGAGCCCUGUCUUACCAUGAGGCUGGUCAAACAUGGGAAACAGUUACCAAGGGAGUACUGUAGAGUGUUCAUCUUUCGAGAUGUCCAAUAUAUGACCAGAGAAGUCCUGGAAGAGCCUCCUCUACUUGUGCCUGCUUUGAGCUGGGCUUGGUCUGCAUGUUCUCCACCCCAUGUGUUGUGUGAUUGGGUGGGCCAAUGCUGGAUGCCCUCAGGCAGGAGCGGCGGUCAAGCUGAAUGGAGCAGACAGGAGCUGGGGGCCACUGCUCAGGAAAGCUGCAGAGGUUUGGUGGGCACAGGCACGAGAGUGGGCACUGGUGUCAGUCCCAUGGCUGGGAGCACAGGAAAGGAAGGAAGAUCAGAGUAAGGUCAACCUGAUUAGAGCUGACAGAAAGGCUGUUAUGUGUAACCAUGCCGAGGAAUGUCCUGGGAGAGCCAAAAGGCUGAGGUCCCACUGAGAUUUGAACUCAUACCGCUGGAUUCAGAGCCCAGAGUGCUUACCAUUACACCAUGGGACCUCCUUCACAAGCACUGUCUUUCCCCUGAGGCCACCCUCGUGGAGCCUUCUACUCCUGGCUGAGCCUGGCUGUCUCUCCAUCUCCGUGGACAUCACCAAGUACAGUCUUCCUCCAGGGCCACUGGCUGCUCUCUACUCACCGGGCCUUUCAAGGGACUGGCAGAGCUCUUUGCACAAGCCUCGCGUGCCCUCUCUUACAAGAGCCAGGCUGGACUCGCUGUCCCCUUGUGCCCCAAAGUGGCCUCUCCCUCCCUGGAAACCCCAUUUUCUCUCCUGAGGCUGCUCCAGACUCGGCAAGGUUUCAAUGUCCAGCCUGAGGGAACUUUCCCUCAUGUCCUGGCACCAGCACACUGCCUGCCCAGAAAGGGUCCAUGCACACAGCCAGGAAAAGCUGCAGUGGUGCGUUCCUCCUUCUGCCAAGGUUUGAGCCUGUGUGUUGAGAGCAGGGCCCUUCCUCCCAGCAGUCACACAGGAGGAAACCCAUGUGGGGACACUCUAUUGGAUCUCAGACUUAGCCCGGGACACUGAGGACACGACCUCCUGAUACCUUUGCACUUCCUAAAGCAUUGGGCUUGCAUCUGGUACUUCUGAACCCACACGACAGAGCGCGCAGUCAUACCCAAGCCUAAGAUAUUAAAUGCCAGGUCACAUUCAGAGGAGGCAGGAGAAA